UACGGAGGAGGCAAGCGUUAUCCGGAAUUAUUGGGCGUAAAGCGUCCGUAGGUGGUUUGGUAAGUCUGCUGUUAAAGCGCGGGGCUUAACUCCGUAUCGGCAGUGGAAACUACUAGACUAGAGUGUGGUAGGGGUAGAGGGAAUUCCCAGUGUAGCGGUGAAAUGCGUAGAUAUUGGGAAGAACACCGGUGGCGAAGGCGCUCUACUGGGACGUAACUGACACUGAUGGACGAAAGCUAGGGGAGCGAAAGGG
rnacentral:rRNA from 1 species